rnacentral:rRNA from 1 species
GGAGCGAACAGGAUUAGAUACCCUGGUAGUCCAUGCCGUAAACGUUGGGCGCUAGGUGUGGGACUCAUUCCACGAGUUCCGUGCCGCAGCUAACGCAUUAAGCGCCCCGCCUGGGGAGUACGGCCGCAAGGCUAAAACUCAAAGGAAUUGACGGGGGCCCGCGCAAGCGGCGGAGCAUGCGGAUUAAUUCGAUGCAACGCGAAGAACCUUACCAAGGCUUGACAUAUACCGGAAACUUCCAGAGAUGGUUGCCCCCUUUGGGUCGGUAUACAGGUGGUGCAUGGUUGUCGUCAGCUCGUGUCGUGAGAUGUUGGGUUAAGUCCCGCAACGAGCGCAACCCUCGUUCUAUGUUGCCAGCACGUAAUGGUGGGGACUCAUGGAAGACUGCCGGGGUCAACUCGGAGGAAGGUGGGGAUGACGUCAAAUCAUCAUGCCCCUUAUGUCUUGGGCUUCACGCAUGCUACAAUGGCCGGUACAAAGGGCUGCGAUACCGCAAGGUGGAGCGAAUCCCAAAAAACCGGUCUCAGUUCGGAUUGGGGUCUGCAACUCGACCCCAUGAAGUCGGAGUCGCUAGUAAUCGCAGAUCAGC